rnacentral:rRNA from 1 species
GACGAACGCUGGCGGCGUGCUUAACACAUGCAAGUCGAACGGAAAGGCCCUGCUUUUGUGGGGUGCUCGAGUGGCGAACGGGUGAGUAGCACGUGAGUAACCUGCCCUUGACUUUGGGAUAACUUCAGGAAACUGAGGCUAAUACCGGAUAGGAGCUCCUGCUGCAUGGUGGGGGUUGGAAAGUUUCGGCGGUUGGGGAUGGACUCGCGGCUUAUCAGCUUGUUGGUGGGGUAGUGGCUUACCAAGGCUUUGACGGGUAGCCGGCCUGAGAGGGUGACCGGCCACAUUGGGACUGAGAUACGGCCCAGACUCCUACGGGAGGCAGCAGUGGGGAAUAUUGCACAAUGGGCGGAAGCCUGAUGCAGCAACGCCGCGUGCGGGAUGACGGCCUUCGGGUUGUAAACCGCUUUCGCCUGUGACGAAGCGUGAGUGACGGUAAUGGGUAAAGAAGCACCGGCUAACUACGUG